CAGCACUCCUGUUGUUGGACAGAAAGACAUCAACUCAGUGACUUGAGAUGUGACUGCACGAUGCUGUUGCUUCGACUCCAGUUAAUUCUACAAGACAUGCUGUGACACCAGGAGAGAUGAGUCCUCCGUCACAGAUGGUGUGGUCAGUGAAGGUGGUCACCUGCAGGUUCAAGCUCAUUGCAUCUCCAACCCACAUCCACUGCAACUGUACUUAAGGGAAGUUAAAGACUUUCUUCUGCACUUACAUUUGGAUCAUCUCGAUCCAUGACAGUCAUUCAGGCAGUAAUGACUGGACUGGAAACAAGCCAUCCUUAAAAUAUUACAACAUUCCAGCUCCUGUGUUGGAAUGAAAAACGAAUGUGUUGUUUAAAUUAGAGACUGCACUUGUGACAGAACAAUAAAUAUUUUAUGUUGAUUAUAUAAGUAAUGUAAGUACAAAACAAACUUGUGGUAGGCCUAAACUUAUUUUCAGAAUAAUUACAUCUAAGACUUUGUUUCGUUGUAAGAUUAUAACAGUGAUGGCAAUAUCAUUUUUAUUCAGC
ensembl:lncRNA